AGCGAACGCUGGCGGCAGGCCUAACACAUGCAAGUCGAACGAACUCUUCGGAGUUAGUGGCGGACGGGUGAGUAACACGUGGGAACGUGCCUUUUGGUUCGGAAUAACUCAGGGAAACUUGUGCUAAUACCGAAUGUGCCCUUCGGGGGAAAGAUUUAUCGCCAUUAGAGCGGCCCGCGUCUGAUUAGCUAGUUGGUGAGGUAACGGCUCACCAAGGCGACGAUCAGUAGCUGGUCUGAGAGGAUGACCAGCCACACUGGGACUGAGACACGGCCCAGACUCCUACGGGAGGCAGCAGUGGGGAAUCUUGCGCAAUGGGCGAAAGCCUGACGCAGCCAUGCCGCGUGAAUGAUGAAGGUCUUAGGAUUGUAAAAUUCUUUCACCGGGGACGAUAAUGGCGGUACCCGGAGAAGAAACCCCGGCUAACUUCGU
rnacentral:rRNA from 1 species